AUCUCUAUUAAAAGCUUAAAUUGUUACAUAAUGAUAUUUUUUUUAAUAAUUAUGUUCAGCAUUCCUCCGUAUAGUUGGGCUUGAAUCUUUUUUUAUAUGCUCUAAUGCUCCCGCCUUGAAGUACGUACGUUGAGUUAAAUAAGUGGAAAUUACGAGGCAAGGGUCCGGUGGGAUUCAAAUUUGGAAUCUCUCAUUCUGAUAUUAUGUUAAAUAAUAUGAAGCAAUCAUUAUUCUUCGAAAGCUUAAGUCAUUGGAAAAUGUUGUUAUAUUUGGGCUUAAAGCUUUUUAAGGAGUUCUAGGUGUGGAUUUGAUUUAAAUAGAAAAAGAUUAAGGGCUUGUUUGGAAGCCGAAAUAAAAUAUUUAAGAAUAAUUUAUUCGGCAUGAAAAUUUUUAGUGUCAUUAUAAAAAAAAAGGUAAUAGCAUAACAUAUUUCAAAUACGAAAUGAUUUAUUUAUCCUAAAAAAUAACUCGAAGGCUAAAUGUACGUAGUACCCAAUUUUAAACAUUUAAUCACAUUCUCCAUCCACCAGAUGUAUAAACUUAUUA
rnacentral:lncRNA from 1 species